rnacentral:rRNA from 1 species
CCUACGGGUGGCAGCAGUGGGGAAUAUUGGGCAAUGGAGGAAACUCUGACCCAGCAACGCCGCGUGAAUGAUGAAGGUCUUCGGAUGGUAAAGUUCUUUUCUAAGGGAAGAAGAAAGUGACGGUACCGUAGGAAUAAGCUUCGGCUAACUACGUGCCAGCAGCCGCGGUAAUACGUAGGAGGCAAGCGUUAUCCGGAAUGACUGGGCGUAAGGGGUGCGUAGGUGGUUUGAAAAGUUGGUAGCGUAACUCCGGGGCUCAACCUCGGCACUACUACCAAAACUGUCUGACUUGAGUGCAGGAGGGGCAAAUGGAAUUCCUAGUGUAGCGGUGGAAUGCGUAGAUAUUAGAAAGAACACCAGUGGCGAAGGCGAUUUGCUGGACUGUAACUGACACUGAGGCACGAAAGCGUGGGGAGCAAACAGGAUUAGAUACCCUUGUAGUC